AUGAAGGUUUCUUCUGCCGCCUUCUUGUGUCGUUCUUCGCCCAGCCUCCGCUUGAUCUGGGACUCGGAUAGAGGCCAGCCGGAUGGAUAUUGCAGUCUCUACACUGCUGAUCCCGACAGCGAGGGUUUCACAGUGUAUGAAGAAGAGGACUGCGGUUAUCUCCUGCAGCGGCUAGCCGUCCUAGGUUGUAUCGGCAAAGACGGUGAGCCGCUGGCGCCACUUCCGGUUGCUGUGGCUGAAAAGAUCUUCGAUGUUGUGAGGUUGCCCAAACGCGACUUUGAUUUUCAUCAGGCACUUUUGUACGCCAUUGAGAUGUCUCAAAUCACGGACUAUGAUUUGUUUCAACGGUAUGGCAUACUGGAAUCUGCUGGAGAAUUAUUUCUAGUGCUUAAGGCACAGCAUCGCUUCAAGGUCUUCAGGAUCAACACCGACAGAAUUGUGCUUGAACCUGUUGAGAGCAUCGGCAGCCGUGCAUUCUUUCUCGGUCGGGGCAGGUACAUGUCUGUCGAUGCACACAAGUUCCCAUACAUCGAUGCCAAUUGCAUAUACUAUGUGAAGUCGACAUUUCCGACAUGUGACAUCUACAAGUACGACCUCGAGGGCGAGAAAGAAGAGAGGGUUUCUCAAGCCAGACAUUCCUUGAACCCCAGCACCUGCACGUUGCCUGCCACAAUUCCUCCCUUCACCAUCCUUAGGCUUCUCUCCAGCUACACCAACAGCAUCCAGACAAGUCAGCUCACGAGGUGUGCGAGGAUUCAAAGCGUUACACGAUCCGGGUUUAAAUCUGAGUAUGCAUAUGAAGCGUCGGACCCAGGGAGUUGCUGGUGCCUGAACAUGAUAGAAGUGGUGGAUUUUCAAAACUAUCCGCGCCGUCCGCGCAACGGCACGGAAGUAGCUCGCCCAUGA
rnacentral:rRNA from 1 species